UGCUGAAUACAGGUUCAUUCUGUGGGCUCU
rnacentral:piRNA from 1 species